AGAGUUUGAUCAUGGCUCAGAACGUACGCUGGCGGCACGCCUAAUACAUGCAAGUCGAACGAAGUAGCAAUACUUAGUGGCAGACGGGUGAGUAACAUGUGGGUAUCUUCCCUUUGGUGAGGAAUAACACGAGGAAACUUGUGCUAAUACCUCAUAAGUCUUUACAGAGAAAGCUUUAUGCGCCAUUGGAUGAGCCUGCACUUGAUUAGUUUGUUGGUGGGGUAAUGGCCUACCAAGACAAUGAUCAAUAGCUGAUUUGAGAGGAUGAUCAGCCACAUUGGGACUGAGACACGGCCCAAACUCCUACGGGAGGCAGCAGUAGGGAAUCUUGCACAAUGGAGGAAACUCUGAUGCAGCGAUGCCGCGUGAGUGAAGAAGGCCUUUGGGUUGUAAAGCUCUUUCGUCGGGGAAGAAAAUGACUGUACCCGAAUAAGAAGGUCCGGCUAACUUCGUGCCAGCAGCCGCGGUAAUACGAAGGGACCUAGCGUAGUUCGGAAUUACUGGGCUUAAAGAGUUCGUAGGUGGUUGAAAAAGUUGGUGGUGAAAUCCCAGAGCUUAACUCUGGAACUGCCAUCAAAACUUUUCAGCUAGAGUAUGAUAGAGGAAAGCAGAAUUUCUAGUGUAGAGGUGAAAUUCGUAGAUAUUAGAAAGAAUACCAAUUGCGAAGGCAGCUUUCUGGAUCAUUACUGACACUGAGGAACGAAAGCAUGGGUAGCGAAGAGGAUUAGAUACCCUCGUAGUCCAUGCCGUAAACGAUGUGUGUUAGACGUUGGAAAUUUAUUUUCAGUGUCGCAGGGAAACCGAUAAACACACCGCCUGGGGAGUACGACCGCAAGGUUAAAACUCAAAUGAAUUGACGGGGACCCGCACAAGUAGUGGAGCAUGUGGUUUAAUUCGAAGAUACGCGCAGAACCUUACCAACACUUGACAUGUUCGUCGCGACUCUAAGAGAUUAGAGUUUUCGGUUCGGCCGGACGAAACACAGGUGCUGCAUGGCUGUCGUCAGCUCGUGUCGUGAGAUGUUGGGUUAAGUCCCGCAACGAGCGCAACCCUCACUUUUAGUUGCCAUCAUUAAGUUGGGCACUCUGAAAGAACUGCCAGUGAUAAGCUGGAGGAAGGUGGGGAUGACGUCAAGUCCUCAUGGCCCUUACGUGUUGGGCUACACACGUGCUACAAUGGUAUCUACAACAGGAAGCAAAACAGCGAUGUUAAGCAAAUCCCAAAAAGAUACCUCAGUUCGGAUUGCACUCUGCAACUCGAGUGCAUGAAGCUGGAAUUACUAGUAAUCGUGGAUCAGCGUGCCACGGUGAAUACGUUCCCGGGUCUUGUACACACCGCCCGUCACACCAUGGGAGUUGGUUCUACCUUAAGGCAAGGUUUCAAACCCUUGACCACGGUAUAGUCAGCGACUGGGGUGAAGUCGUAACAAGGUAGCCGUAGGGGAACCUGCGGCUG
rnacentral:rRNA from 1 species